rnacentral:rRNA from 1 species
UUGAACCUACGGGGCGCAGCAGUGAGGAAUAUUGGUCAAUGGCCGGAAGGCUGAACCAGCCAAGCCGCGUGAGGGAGGAAGGCGCAGAGCGUCGCAGACCUCUUUUGCCGGGGGACAAAAGGCCGGACUCGUCCGGUCCUGAGGGUACCCGGAGAAAAAGCAUCGGCUAACUCCGUGCCAGCAGCCGCGGUAAUGCGGAGGAUGCGAGCGUUAUCCGGAUUUAUUGGGUUUAAAGGGUGCGUAGGCGGUCCGUUAAGUCAGCGGUAAAAUUGCGGGGCUCAACCCUGGCGAGCCGUUGAAACUGG